CUCAGACAUGGCACAGAGACCCAAAAGUUCAUCUGGAAGAAGAGCAAUGUUCAUAGCAGAAGCUGAUAAUGAAAUUGGCAGUUCUGGCACCAAGAACAGAGAUAACGGAACUUGAAAUGGGGCAGUCUGUGUUAUUGCCUUGGAUUAUCAAGAGUGGUUGACAUUACACAGUGGAGUUUACAGAUCAAAACACCAGGGCAGUUUUUAUUGCUUUUCAGGCUGAGUCAUAGUUACGUAUGGUACACUUUCCAGUAAGAAUUUAUCUUUCAUCCUCACAGACAGUUAACACAUAGGUUACCACUCAUCAAAGAAUUUGGGGUUUCUGUGAACAAAGAUAACUGAAAUGCACUAAACCAAAAUAAUUUGAGGUCUUUUUUUAGUGGGGAAAACAAUGACUGACUGCUGAAGCAGUUACCCUGAUAAAGGAGAAGAAGCAAAUCAAAAUGUAUACUGAAAGUCAUUUCUGAGUCAAAGACUAUAAUCUCAUUCCUGAAAAUGAUAUAAAAAAUAUGAUCUACUUCAUUCUCAUUCACCAACAGAAAGAAGAUUAACAGCAACGUUUCCCAGCAGUCAAAACUAAGCAGAAUCUGGCGCAAGGAAUGUCUGAAAGGAGCAAUUCAGAUCCCAGAACUAGAGAAGAGGCUGAAUCCCAGGGGACUGUCUCCCAGCCGCCUUUGUGGAUGUGCUUUGCUGGAAUCUGUGGGCAUAAUGCUUCAGAUGACCCAUGGUCUCCUGAAAAGAGCUGCUGCAUCCUUGCGAGUUUAACACAUGAGCUGUGGCAUCCAGAAGGGAAUACUGUGAUACUCCAAGAUACCAACUUAACACCAGAUCUGGUACAUGGAGUUUGCACAAUGCUUCUGAAAUACAUACUGAAAAAAGUGGCCAACACAUGAUGUUUUCUGAACUCAGCAUUCUCACCUUGGACAUCCACCAAUACUCGGCAGACAUUGGAGCUGUGAUCUCUCUGGGAACCAUAGUGCUUACACAGAUUCAGUUGCAAGAUUUCUCUCAGCAUCUGAACAUAUGGUUUGCUUGAAAUUUCCUUGCACACCUCCUGUAAAAUAAAACCUACAGCAGCAAUGGUCA
rnacentral:lncRNA from 1 species